rnacentral:rRNA from 1 species
UUUGAGAUUGCAGCCCAAAGAGGGUGGUAAACUCCAUCCAAGGCUAAAUACUGCCACGAGUCCGAUAGCGAACAAGUACCAUGAGGGAAAGUUGAAAAGUACUCUGAAGAGAGAGUAAACAGUACGUGAAGCCGCAUGCAGGUAAACGGGUGGCGUCAAGCUGCGAGCCCGGAGGAUUCAGCUGACUGGGAUGUAGUGUACGCGCGCCUGGUGCGUCGAGAGGCCGGAGUAAGAUGUGGCGGUCCACUCCUCUGUCGGGAGUGGGGUGCAAUCGGUGUGCGCUCGCCGUGCAACGGUUGUCGCUAUGCAUGCCGGGUGGGUGCCGGAGCAUGCCGCUCGUCUGUUGGGCCACCUAGUCAGUGCAUUUUCUCCGUGGUGAACACCACGACCGGUGGAACUGCCAGUCUGCUAUGAGCAAGUCGUGUCCUCCUGGCGCAUUGCUGUGUUGGGUGGGCGCGAUCGCUGGCGGAGUGGGUGAACGGCGCAGUGGUGCCUCGGUACUGCCGCGUGUUAUCGUGCACUCUCCGUCGUAAGCGGUUAGUGGGUUUGACUAAGUGCUGUGACUACUUGCCUACUAAUCGGCGGCUCUUAGUGGUGAAAGUGACUGUGCAGGGCACCGGAGUUGUCCACCUCAUUCAAUAUGGUAUCCGGCACGCACGUUACAGGUGCUAAGGAAUCGAGGUGCGCCGCUGUCUGCCUGGUGUUGGGCCUGACUGUCGUGUUGCCUGCAAAAAGUGGGUCCGGCGGUGGUUUCGAUACUUGGUAUUGGCAGUGUGAUGCGCGUCUCGGGUGUCUGUGAUACCGGGGGUGAAAUAGUCAGUGGUGCUGUGGUAGACGAGCUACCCGACCCGUCUUGAAACACGGACCAAGGA